rnacentral:rRNA from 1 species
UACAUGGGGUGCAAACGUUGCUCGGAAUUAUUGGGCGUAAAGCGCACGUAGGCGGUUCGUUAAGUCGGAUGUGAAAGCCCUCGGCUCAACUGAGGAAGUGCACCCGAAACUGGCGAGCUUGAGUACGAAAGAGGAUCGCGGAAUUCCCGGUGUAGAGGUGAAAUUCGUAGAUAUCGGGAGGAACACCAGUGGCGAAGGCGGCGAUCUGGGUCGAUACUGACGCUGAGGUGCGAAAGCGUGGGGAGCAACAGG